rnacentral:rRNA from 1 species
GACGAACGCUGGCGGCGUGCCUAAUACAUGCAAGUAGAACGCUGAAGGAGGAGCUUGCUUCUCUGGAUGAGUUGCGAACGGGUGAGUAACGCGUAGGUAACCUGCCUGGUAGCGGGGGAUAACUAUUGGAAACGAUAGCUAAUACCGCAUAAGAGUAGAUGUUGCAUGACAUUUGCUUAAAAGGUGCAAUUGCAUCACUACCAGAUGGACCUGCGUUGUAUUAGCUAGUUGGUGGGGUAACGGCUUACCAAGGCGACGAUACAUAGCCGACCUGAGAGGGGGAUCGGCCACACUGGGACUGAGACACGGCCCAGACUCCUACGGGAGGCAGCAGUAGGGAAUCUUCGGCAAUGGACGGAAGUCUGACCGAGCAAUGCCGCGUGAGUGAAGAAGGUUUUCGGAUCGUAAAGCUCUGUUGUAAGAGAAGAACGAGUGUGAGAGUGGAAAGUUCACACUGUGACGGUAUCUUACCAGAAAGGGACGGCUAACUACGUG